AGCCACGUGGUGUGCACGGAGCGAACUAUUCUUUCGCCUUUUACUAAAGAAUACCCUGUCCACGCCGCAUGUAGUGUCAUACGCAUAUUUUUGGAGGGGUUCUUCUUCUCAGUU